GCCGGGCUUGGUGGCGGGCGCCUGUAGUCCCAGCUCCUGGGGAGGCUGAGGCAGGAGAAUGGCGUGAACCUGGGAGGCAGAGCUUGCAAUGAGCCGAGAUCGCGCCACUGCACUCUAGCCUGGGUGACAAAGCGAGACUCUGUCUUGCUCUGUCGCCUAGGCUGGAGUGCAGUGGCGGGAUCUCAGCUCGUUGCAACCUCUGCUUCCUGGGUUCAAGCAGUUCUUGUGCCUCUG
rnacentral:SRP_RNA from 1 species